AGAGUUUGAUCAUGGCUCAGAUUGAACGCUGGCGGCAGGCCUAACACAUGCAAGUCGAACGGUAACAGGAAGCAGCUUGCUGCUUUGCUGACGAGUGGCGGACGGGUGAGUAAUGUCUGGGAAACUGCCUGAUGGAGGGGGAUAACUACUGGAAACGGUGGCUAAUACCGCAUAACGUCGCAAGACCAAAGAGGGGGACCUUCGGGCCUCUUGCCAUCAGAUGUGCCCAGAUGGGAUUAGCUUGUUGGUGAGGUAACGGCUCACCAAGGCGACGAUCCCUAGCUGGUCUGAGAGGAUGACCAGCCACACUGGAACUGAGACACGGUCCAGACUCCUACGGGAGGCAGCAGUGGGGAAUAUUGCACAAUGGGCGCAAGCCUGAUGCAGCCAUGCCGCGUGUAUGAAGAAGGCCUUCGGGUUGUAAAGUACUUUCAGCGGGGAGGAAGGUGUUGUGGUUAAUAACCACAGCAAUUGACGUUACCCGCAGAAGAAGCACCGGCUAACUCCGUGCCAGCAGCCGCGGUAAUACGGAGGGUGCAAGCGUUAAUCGGAAUUACUGGGCGUAAAGCGCACGCAGGCGGUCUGUCAAGUCGGAUGUGAAAUCCCCGGGCUCAACCUGGGAACUGCAUUCGAAACUGGCAGGCUUGAGUCUUGUAGAGGGGGGUAGAAUUCCAGGUGUAGCGGUGAAAUGCGUAGAGAUCUGGAGGAAUACCGGUGGCGAAGGCGGCCCCCUGGACAAAGACUGACGCUCAGGUGCGAAAGCGUGGGGAGCAAACAGGAUUAGAUACCCUGGUAGUCCACGCCGUAAACGAUGUCUACUUGGAGGUUGUGCCCUUGAGGCGUGGCUUCCGGAGCUAACGCGUUAAGUAGACCGCCUGGGGAGUACGGCCGCAAGGUUAAAACUCAAAUGAAUUGACGGGGGCCCGCACAAGCGGUGGAGCAUGUGGUUUAAUUCGAUGCAACGCGAAGAACCUUACCUGGUCUUGACAUCCACGGAACUUUCCAGAGAUGGAUUGGUGCCUUCGGGAACCGUGAGACAGGUGCUGCAUGGCUGUCGUCAGCUCGUGUUGUGAAAUGUUGGGUUAAGUCCCGCAACGAGCGCAACCCUUAUCCUUUGUUGCCAGCGGUCCGGCCGGGAACUCAAAGGAGACUGCCAGUGAUAAACUGGAGGAAGGUGGGGAUGACGUCAAGUCAUCAUGGCCCUUACGACCAGGGCUACACACGUGCUACAAUGGCGCAUACAAAGAGAAGCGACCUCGCGAGAGCAAGCGGACCUCAUAAAGUGCGUCGUAGUCCGGAUUGGAGUCUGCAACUCGACUCCAUGAAGUCGGAAUCGCUAGUAAUCGUGGAUCAGAAUGCCACGGUGAAUACGUUCCCGGGCCUUGUACACACCGCCCGUCACACCAUGGGAGUGGGUUGCAAAAGAAGUAGGUAGCUUAACCUUCGGGAGGGCGCUUACCACUUUGUGAUUCAUGACUGGGGUGAAGUCGUAACAAGGUAACCGUAGGGGAACCUGCGGUUGGAUCACCU
rnacentral:rRNA from 4 species